CUACGGGACGCUGCAGUGAGGAAUAUUGCACAAUGGGGGGAACCCUGAUGCAGCAACGCCGCGUGGAGGAUGACGCAUUUCGGUGUGUAAACUCCUUUUAUAUGUCAAGAAAAUGACGGUAGCAUAUGAAUAAGCGCCGGCUAACUCCGUGCCAGCAGCCGCGGUAAUACGGAGGGCGCAAGCGUUACUCGGAAUCACUGGGCGUAAAGGACGCGUAGGCGGGUUGAAAAGUCGGGUGUGAAAGCCUACAGCUUAACUGUAGAACUGCACUUGAAACUCUCAACCUAGAGGAUGGGAGGGGCAGAUGGAAUUAGUGGUGUAGGGGUAAAAUCCGUAGAUAUCACUAGGAAUACCUAAAGCGAAGGCGAUCUGCUGGAACAUUACUGACGCUAAGGCGUGAAAGCGUGGGGAGCAAACAGGAUUAGAUACCCCUGUAGUC
rnacentral:rRNA from 1 species